UACGUAGGGUGCAAGCGUUGUCCGGAAUUAUUGGGCGUAAAGAGCUCGUAGGCGGUUUGUCGCGUCUGCUGUGAAAACUCGGGGCUUAACCCUGGACCUGCAGUGGGUACGGGCAGACUAGAGUGUGGUAGGGGAGACUGGAAUUCCUGGUGUAGCGGUGAAAUGCGCAGAUAUCAGGAGGAACACCGAUGGCGAAGGCAGCUUCCUGGCCGGUAACUGACGCUGAGGUGCGAAAGCGUGGGGAGCGAACGGG
rnacentral:rRNA from 1 species